rnacentral:rRNA from 1 species
AACGAACGCUGGCGGCAGGCUUAACACAUGCAAGUCGAACGCCCCGCAAGGGGAGUGGCAGACGGGUGAGUAACGCGUGGGAAUCUACCGUACCCUACGGAACAACAGUUGGAAACGACUGCUAAUACCGUAUACGCCCUACGGGGGAAAGAUUUAUCGGGGUAUGAUGAGCCCGCGUUGGAUUAGCUAGUUGGUGGGGUAAAGGCCUACCAAGGCGACGAUCCAUAGCUGGUCUGAGAGGAUGAUCAGCCACAUUGGGACUGAGACACGGCCCAAACUCCUACGGGAGGCAGCAGUGGGGAAUAUUGGACAAUGGGCGCAAGCCUGAUCCAGCCAUGCCGCGUGAGUGAUGAAGGUCUUAGGAUUGUAAAGCUCUUUCACCGAUGAAGAUAAUGACGGUAGUCGGAGAAGAAGCCCCGGCUAACUUCGUGCCAGCCGCCGCGGUAAAAC